rnacentral:rRNA from 2 species
AAUCCAGAGAUGGAUUUGUGCCUUCGGGAACUGUGAGACAGGUGCUGCAUGGCUGUCGUCAGCUCGUGUUGUGAAAUGUUGGGUUAAGUCCCGCAACGAGCGCAACCCUUAUCCUUUGUUGCCAGCGGUUAGGCCGGGAACUCAAAGGAGACUGCCAGUGAUAAACUGGAGGAAGGUGGGGAUGACGUCAAGUCAUCAUGGCCCUUACGACCAGGGCUACACACGUGCUACAAUGGCGCAUACAAAGAGAAGCGACCUCGCGAGAGCAAGCGGACCUCAUAAAGUGCGUCGUAGUCCGGAUUGGAGUCUGCAACUCGACUCCAUGAAGUCGGAAUCGCUAGUAAUCGUGGAUCAGAAUGCCACGGUGAAUACGUUCCCGGGCCUUGUACACACCGCCCGUCACACCAUGGGAGUGGGGUGCAAAAGAAGUAGGUAGCUUAACCUUCGGGAGGGCGCUUACCACUUUGUGAUUCAUGACUGGGGUGAAGUCGUAACAAGGUAACCGUAGGGGAACCUGCGGUUGGAUCACCUCCUUACCUUAAAGAAGC